GGGAUUUCUGAGGCAGUUUGGAAGGGACUUUGCCCUCAGAAUUCUGCCCCCAACUAAAUUCUCCAUUUUCCCUCUGAACCCUUCUCUCUGCUCAGUGAUGAGUGGGCACCCUGAGAGUGCAGGGGUCCCCUCCCAGGAACUACAUGGGAGGGGCAGCAAGGUACUGUUGCCACACAAGCUGUCCAGCCUCCCGGCCUUGUGCAGACUGGUACCUGGGUUACCCUUCCUGCCCCUCCCUCCGCCUGGCCAAACUACUCCCCUGUCAGGAUCCAGGGCAAGAUGAGUCUUUCUAGUUCCCCUGCCACCAGGCCAAGGAAGAGCCAAUUACUCCCUCCUCUGUCGGUCCCAGGAGCCCAGCCUUCGAGUCAUCCCAGCCCGGGCACCAGACGUAAGUGAUGAGGCUUCCAGAUGAUUCCUGCCCCAGCUGUUCAGGGCUCCCAGCAGAGAAGAGCUGUACCCACAGAGCCCUGCUUGGCUUCUUGACCUGCGGAAUCCAUGACCCUGUUACACCCCUAAGUUCUGUGAUGGUUCAUUAUAACAACAGAUCACCGGACCAUGGAAAUUACUUCUCCUCUUCUACUCUUUAGGCUAACUCGUUUUUAUAUAAACAACUCAUCCCCACCCAGACACACACACAAGGCCCUAGAGCAGCAGUUUCCGAACAGUGCCGUAUCCCCCGGGGAUCUCUAAAAAAUACUGACACCCAGACAAUAGGGGGGAAUCCUAAAAAUACCUGACCAAGACUAUUCAAGAUUGCCAGGCUCAUGAAAAACAAAGAAAAGUCUGAUACUACAUCCUGGAUGGGACGUAACAUUAAAACUGAGAAAAUCGGAAUAAACUAU
rnacentral:lncRNA from 1 species